UACGUAGGGGGCAAGCGUUGUCCGGAUUUAUUGGGCGUAAAGGGCUCGUAGGCGGUUUGUCGCGUCGGGAGUGAAAACUCAGGGCUUAACCCUGAGCCUGCUCCCGAUACGGGCAGACUAGAGGUAUGCAGGGGAGAACGGAAUUCCUGGUGUAGCGGUGAAAUGCGCAGAUAUCAGGAGGAACACCGGUGGCGAAGGCGGGUCUCUGGGCCGAUACUGACGCUCAGGCACGAAAGCGUGGGGAGCAAACAGG
rnacentral:rRNA from 1 species